ACGAACGCUGGCGGCGUGCCUAACACAUGCAAGUCGAGCGGAGACAGUGAGUAGCUUGCUAUGAGCUGUUUUAGCGGCGGACGGGUGAGUAACGCGUGAGCAACCUUUCCCAGACAGGGGAAUAACACACCGAAAGGUGUACUAAUACCGCAUAAGACCACGGAAUCACAUGGUUCUGAGGUAAAAGAUUUAUCGGUUUGGGGUGGGCUCGCGUCCGAUUAGGUAGUUGGUGAGGUAACGGCCCACCAAGCCGACGAUCGGUAGCCGACCUGAGAGGGUGAUCGGCCACAUUGGGACUGAGACACGGCCCAAACUCCUACGGGAGGCAGCAGUGGGGAAUAUUGGGCAAUGGAGGAAACUCUGACCCAGCAACGCCGCGUGGAGGAAGAAGGUUUUCGGAUCGUAAACUCCUGUCCUUGGAGACGAGUAGAAGACGGUAUCCAAGGAGGAAGCCCCGGCUAACUACGUGCCAGCAGCCGCGGUAAUACGUAGGGGGCAAGCGUUGUCCGGAAUAAUUGGGCGUAAAGGGCGCGUAGGCGGCUCGGUAAGUCUGGAGUGAAAGUCCUGCUUUUAAGGUGGGAAUUGCUUUGGAUACUGUCGGGCUUGAGUGCAGGAGAGGUUAGUGGAAUUCCCAGUGUAGCGGCGAAGGGCGUAGAGAUUGGGAGGAACACCAGUGGCGAAGGCGACUAACUGGACUGUAACUGACGCUGAGGCGCGAAAGUGUGGGGAGCAAACAGGAUUAGAUACCCUGGUAGUCCACGCUGUAAACGAUGAUUACUAGGUGUGGGGGGUCUGACCCCUUCCGUGCCGGAGUUAACACAAUAAGUAAUCCACCUGGGGAGUACGGCCGCAAGGUUGAAACUCAAAGGAAUUGACGGGGGCCCGCACAAGCAGCGGAGCAUGUGGUUUAAUUCGACGCAACGCGAAGAACCUUACCAGGUCUUGACAUCCACUUAAACUUACAGAGAUGUAAGGUGUGCUUGCACAAAGUGAGACAGGUGGUGCAUGGUUGUCGUCAGCUCGUGUCGUGAGAUGUUGGGUUAAGUCCCGCAACGAGCGCAACCCUUAUCUUCAGUUACUAACGCGUGAGGGUGAGGACUCUGAAGAGACUGCCGGGGACAACUCGGAGGAAGGUGGGGACGACGUCAAAUCAUCAUGCCCCUUAUGACCUGGGCUACACACGUGCUACAAUGGCCACGACAGAGAGAAGCGAAAUCGUAAGGUAGAGCGGAACUCAAAAAAGUGGUCCCAGUUCGGAUUGUGGGCUGCAACCCGCCCACAUGAAGUCGGAGUUGCUAGUAAUCGCGGAUCAGCACGCCGCGGUGAAUACGUUCCCGGGCCUUGUACACACCGCCCGUCACACCACGAGAGUUUGUAACACCCGAAGUCGGUGAGGUAACCUUAUGGAGCCAGCCGCCUAAGGUGGGAUAGAUGAUUGGGGUG
rnacentral:rRNA from 1 species